CCCACAUGUACUGGUCACAUGAUUAUGACAUCAUCACAGGUCCUACACUAGAGUCCCGUAGAGAUUGAGGAGAAGUUUUGGAACACAGGUGUGAACUUCACACCGGAAUAAUUACUGACCGUGUGUUUUCGUCCUCUACAGGGGGGGAUCCUUUACCUUGUUCACCACCUCACUUACAGCUGGAAAUUCUACCUUUCCUUCUCUGCUUGCCAGAGGUAGCCUGACUGCCAUCAGGUACCGAAAUGAGAUCCUCAGACCCCUUGUGAGACCAUAUGCUGGUGCGGUUGGCCCUGGGUUCCUCCUAAUACAAGACAAUGCUAGACCUCAUGUGGCUGGAGUGUGUCAGCAGUUCCUACAAGAGGAAGGCAUUGAUGCUAUGGACUGGCCGCCCGUUCCCCUGAAUCCGAUUGAGCACAUCUGGGACGUCUCGCUCCAUCCACCACAGACUGUCCAGGAGUUGGCGGAUGCUUUAGUCCAGGUCUGGGAGGACAUCCCUCAGGAGACCAUCCUCCACCUCAUCAGGAUCAUGCCCAGGCGUUGUAGGGAGGUCAUAUGGGCACGUGGAGGCCACAUACACUACUGAGCCUCAUUGGGACUUGUUAUAAGGACAUUACAUAAAGUUGGAUCAGCCUGUAGUGGGGUUUUCCACUGUGAUUUUGAGUGUGACUCCAUAUCCAGACCUCCAGGGGUUGAUACAUUUGAUUUCCAUUGAUCAUUUUUGUGUGAUUUUUGUUGUCAGCGCAUUCAACUAUGUAAAGAGGAAAUUAUUUCAUACGAUUAGUUCAUUCAUACAGAAUUACCAUGUGUUAUCUUAGUGUUCACUUUAUUUAGCAGUGGAUAUUAUAUGUUAAAAAGUAGUCCCAUUGAAUAUAUCAACUUGUCCACACCCCCACCCCCCCUCACCCCCCGAAAAAAAAAAAAAAAUUAUUGCAGCUCUCAGUAUAUCAGAUCCUCAUUAUUUCAGGAUAUAUAUAAUGUUAAUUAUCUUAGUGUUCCCUUUAGUUUCAUGAGCAGUGUACAUUACAUUACUUAUCCUGUAUUAUACUCCAGAGCUGUACUCACUAUUCUGCUGGCGAGGUCACUGUGUACAUACAUUACAUUACUUAUCCUGUACUGAUCCUGAGUUAUAUCCUGUAUUAUACUCCAGAGCCGUACUCACUAUUCUGCUUGUGAGGUCACUGUGUACAUACAUUACAUUACUUAUCCUCUACUGAUCCUGAGUUAUAUUCAGUAUUAUACUCCAGAGCUGUACUCACUAUUCUGCUGGUGAGAUCACUGUGUACAUACAUUACAUUACUUAUCCUGUACUGAUCCUGAGUUAUAUCCUGUAUUAUACUCCAGAGCUGUACUCACUAUUCUGCUGGUGAGAUCACUGUGUACAUACAUUACAUUACUUAUCCUGUACUGAUCCUGAGUUAUAUACUGUAUUAUACUCCAGAGCUGUACUCACUAUUCUGCUGGUGAGAUCACUGUGUACAUACAUUACAUUACUUAUCCUGUACUGAUCCUGAGUUAUAUCCUGUAUUAUACUCCAGAGCUGUACUCACUAUUCUGCUGGUGAGAUCACUGUGUGCAUACAUUACAUUACUUAUCCUGUACUGAUCCUGAGUUAUAUCCUGUAAAUCUUUUAUUAGAAAAAUAUAAAUCAUAACAUACACAAAACCAGCACAACUUUGCCAUAACGGAAAACAACAGCAUGAAAUAACACAAACCCAACCAUAUAUUUAAAUAAAAGAACAAAAAAUCCUGCCUAAAUGGACAGCCCAGCUUUUCCUAAAAAUACUAGUACUACACCAUACAUAACCAAACACACAUGCAUGCAUACCUAAUGUGCAAAAAAAAAAAAAAAAUAGCAUUAUUUAGCUUUAACUAAAAAAACGCCCAAACUUGGGAAAAUCCCACAUUACAAAAACACAACAAGCACUCCCACCGCACACAAUUUUAUUUUUAAUACUUUUUUUUCCGAAUUAUUACAUUUUUUUUAAAUUAAUAAUAAUACUAUAUUAUCCACAUACUACACACAUGCACACACAUAACCAUUUCUUUACAACAUAUUAAAAAACUAAAUCUACAACUCAAAAACACCCAAACUUGGGAAAAUCACAUAUUACAA